AACUAAUACUCACCGAGACAAUUCUAAAAACCCCUAACACAAUUAGGUUGCGUUGUUUCAUCACAGAGUUCCUAUGGCCACCUCCUGUCUCCAUCAUCAGAUCAGCUCGAUGGUACCAUAAUAUUGCAUUGUCACCCGACUUACAUGUGUUGCGUUGUUUCAUCACAGAGUUCCUAUGGCCACCUCCUGUCUCCAUCAUCAGAUCAGCUCGAUGGUGCCAUAAUAUUGCAUUGUCACCCGACUUACAUGUGUUGCGUUGUUUCAUCACAGAGUUCCUAUGGCCACAUCCUGUCUCCAUCAUCAGAUCAGCUCUAUGGUACCAUAAUAUUGCAUUGUCACCCGA